GGGCUCAACUCAAAGGCUGCUUCAGAAACUGCCGUGCUCGAGUGUGGGAGAGGCGCGUGGAAUUGCAGGUGUAGCGGUGAAAUGCGUAGAUAUCUGCAGGAACACCCGUGGCGAGAGCGGCGCGCUGGACCACUACUGACGCUGAGGAACGAAAGCUAGGGGAGCAAACAGGAUUAGAUACCCUAGUAGUCCUAGCCCUAAACGAUCAGGACUUGGGGUGCCACCCGUUCGGGUGUCGUCCCGGAGCUAACGCGUUAAGUCAUGCACCUGGGGAGUACGGUCGCAAGACUGAAACUCAAAGGAAUCGACGGGGGCCCGCACAAGCGGUGGAACAUGUGGUUCAAUUCGACGCUACGCGAGGAACCUUACCUGGGCUCGAAGCGCACCUGACCAGCUGUGGAAACACGGCCUUCCCGCAAGGGACAGGUGUGGAGGCGCUGCAUGGCUGUCGUCAGCUCGUGCCGUGAGGUGUUGGGUUAAGUCCCGCAACGAGCGCAACCCUUGCACGUAGUUGCCACUCCGCAAGGAGGGAACUCUACGUGGACUGCUCCAGAUAAUGGAGAGGAAGGUGGGGAUGACGUCAAGUCCGCAUGGCCUUUAUGUCCAGGGCUACACACGUGUUACAAUGCAGAGCACAAACCGUUGCCAACUCGCGAGAGGGAGCUAAUCGGAAAAAACUCUGCUCAGUUCGGAUUGCAGUCUGCAACUCGACUGCAUGAAGCCGGAAUCGCUAGUAAUGGCGUAUCAGAUCGACGCCGUGAAUACGUUCCCGGGCCUUGUACACACCGCCCGUCACAUCACGAAAGUGAGCUGUACUAGAAGUCGCCAAGCUAACCGCAAGGAGGCAGGCGCCCAAGGUAUGACUCAUGAUUGGGGUGAAGUCGUAACAAGGUAGCCGUAGGAGAACCUGCGGCUGGAUCACCUCCUU
rnacentral:rRNA from 1 species